rnacentral:rRNA from 1 species
AGCAGCCGCGGUAAUUCCAGCUCCAAUAGCGUAUAUUAAAGUUGUUGCAGUUAAAAAGCUCGUAGUUGAAUUUCGGGAUUAGUACGUUGGUCGUGCCUUCGGUACGUACUGGUGUUACUGAUUCCUACCUUCUGACGAACCAUCAUGUCAUUUAUUUGGUGUGGCGGGGAAUCAGGACUGUUACUUUGAAAAAUUAGAGCGUUUAAAGCAGGCUCGCGCUUGAAUACAUUAGCAUGGAAUAAUGAAAUAGGACGUUGACCCUAUUUUGUUGGUUUCUAGGAUUGACGUAAUGAUUAAUAGGGA